GUGAAUCAUCGAAUCUUUGAACGCACCUUGCACCUUUUGGUAUUCCGAAAGGUAUGCCUGUUUGAGUGUCUUGAAACCUCACACUCUUGAGUUUUCUCAAGAGACGUGGAUUUGGGUGUUGCAAUUUGCUCACCUUGAAUGACUUAGUGGUUCCUACCGUAGCCUGAUGUAAUAAGUUUCAUCUGGUCAAGGGAAGACUGCUUCUAAUCGCCUUGCGGCACUAUUUAAGACUAGACCUCAAAUCAGGUAGGACUACCCGCUGAACUUAAGCAUAUCAAUAAGCGGAGGA
rnacentral:misc_RNA from 1 species